AUGCUGGAAAAGAGAAGGCCUGAAGCGUAUCCGUAGGUUAGAUUUCUGUCGAUCACAAUGUUUCUGAAACGGUGGGGGGAAAAGAAAUCUACCACGACUGCUGUGCAAAUGUAAUACUGUUCAAGGUCCUUGCACAGAACCUGUUUAGCAAUGGUGUCUCUUGAGAAAUGAAGGACCAAAAUAUGAAGUUUAUUACCCAUUUGGAACUUUCUCCAAGACUGCUAUUCAAGCAGUGACACCCUGCAGAGCUUCUCCAGUGGUUAAAUGUAUAAUUUUAUUUUAAGUCUGUUACACAUAGAAUCUAACUAGAGUUUUGCUUUUUAUCCUUACUACGCCCAUCUCCAAAAUCUGAAGCAAUAACAGCAAUGAUGCCCCUGAGAACUGUCCCUCUUUCUUUUUGAGAGAAAAAUCUUGGCAGGAAGAAGUACUCUUCCAGAGCAUGCAGUAACCAUAAUGUACACUAAGCUGGCUUUCAGCUCACAAAAAUCAACUCAUUCAUCAAAAAAACAUUUUAGAAGCUUUAUAAUAAAAACAAACUUACAGCAUCUUUCUCAGGGUUACACACUUUUACCCAGAGGAUAUGGUCCAGGAGCCAAUCAAUAGGUUUCUCCUUAUAAAACAUAAAUAUGAACUCUACAAUAAGAGUGAUAUCUGGAGACUGGAACAUUUUACCUGUGGGUGACAUUAAGAAUAACUGAAGUUACUUUAGAUUAGCGAUAACACUGUCUUUUGAAAUCAAUGAGAUAGCAGAUGAUUAUAUUUGUGCCAAGACAAGAAAUAUUAGCACUGAACAACUUGAAAUUUCAAUGUUAUGAGAAGUUCCAUACCUUUCAACUAAAUAAAAUAGCUAUUCAAACAA